rnacentral:pre_miRNA from 1 species
AGUAGAAUUGCUGGACUGCAUGGUAACUAUAUUUUUAACUUUGAGAGAAACUGCUAAACUGUUUUCCAAAGUGGCUGAACCGUUUAUGUUACCACUGGCAAU